rnacentral:rRNA from 1 species
GACGAACGCUGGCGGCGUGCCUAAUACAUGCAAGUUGAGCGCUGAAGGUUGGUACUUGUACCAACUGGAUGAGCAGCGAACGGGUGAGUAACGCGUGGGGAAUCUGCCUUUGAGCGGGGGACAACAUUUGGAAACGAAUGCUAAUACCGCAUAAAAACUUUAAACACAAGUUUUAAGUUUGAAAGAUGCAAUUGCAUCACUCAAAGAUGAUCCCGCGUUGUAUUAGCUAGUUGGUGAGGUAAAGGCUCACCAAGGCGAUGAUACAUAGCCGACCUGAGAGGGUGGUCGGCCACAUUGGGACUGAGACACGGCCCAAACUCCUACGGGAGGCAGCAGUAGGGAAUCUUCGGCAAUGGGCGAAAGUCUGACCGAGCAACGCCGCGUGAGUGAAGAAGGUUUUCGGAUCGUAAAACUCUGUUGGUAGAGAAGAACGUUGGUGAGAGUGGAAAGCUCAUCAAGUGACGGUAACUACCCAGAAAGGGACGGCUAACUACGUG